rnacentral:rRNA from 1 species
CAGCAGCCGCGGUAAUACGAGGGGGGCAAGCGUUGUUCGGAAUUAUUGGGCGUAAAGGGUGCGUAGGCGGUUUGAUAAGUCUUGUGUGAAAUCUCUGGGCUCAACCCAGAGUCUGCACAGGAAACUGUCGGGCUUGAGAGUGGGAGAGGUGAGUGGAAUUUCCGGUGUAGCGGUGAAAUGCGUAGAUAUCGGAAGGAACACCUGUGGCGAAAGCGGCUCACUGGACCAUUUCUGACGCUGAUGCACGAAAGCUAGGGGAGCAAACAGGAUUAGAUACCCCCGUAGUCCCUGUCUCUUAUAC